rnacentral:rRNA from 1 species
CCUACGGGUGGCAGCAGUGAGGAAUAUUGGUCAAUGGACGAGAGUCUGAACCAGCCAAGUAGCGUGAAGGAUGACUGCCCUAUGGGUUGUAAACUUCUUUUAUAAAGGAAUAAAACGAGGCACGUGAGCUUUUUUGCAUGUACUUUAUGAAUAAGGAUCGGCUAACUCCGUGCCAGCAGCCGCGGUAAUACGGAGGAUCCGAGCGUUAUCCGGAUUUAUUGGGUUUAAAGGGAGCGUAGAUGGGUUGUUAAGUCAGUUGUGAAAGUUUGCGGCUCAACCGUAAAAUUGCAAUUGAUACUGGCAGUCGUGAGUACAGUUGAGGUAGGCGGAAUUCGUGGUGUAGCGGUGAAAUGCUUAGAUAGCACGAAGAACCCCGAUUGCGAAGGCAGCUUACUAAACUGUGACUGACAUUGAUGCUCGAAAGUGUGGGUAUCAAACAGGAUUAGAUACCCUUGUAGUC